CGGUGCUGCUGCUGAUGUGGGACUGGGGGUCGGUGCUGCUGCUGCUUUGGGACUGGGGGGUCGGUGCUGCUGCUGAUGUGGGACAGGAGGUCUGGGGAUUUGCCAUUAGAAACAUGGAGUGAGUUUCUGUGUUGCUUGAGGACAUUUUUCUCCAGAACCUCACUACUUCAGUUGAAAGUUUACAUAAGUUUGUAUUCGUACACCUCGUCCAAGCUGUGACUGGGGCUGUUGUUUGUUUCCCUACAGCUGUGUCCAGGUUUAUAUUGUUUAUGUAUGUUGUCAUAUUGAUUUUUCUGGUUUAUGUGAAAAUCAAAUAAAUAUUUUGAGAAAUAUAUUGUUUAUGGUGAACUGGAUGUGAGUGUCCCUUUUUCUUAGGGUUUAUCCAGUUUUUUUUAAUGUAAAUUCCUCCUGUUUGGCACUUUCAGAGCUGCCAACCCCCCUAUUUUCUUGAAAGUUACAAGAUUUUGGGCUCCGUCCCCCGGUCUCCUGUCACUUUUAAGCAUUCCCCCGAUUUCUGACGGUUUUCCACAAUUUUUGAAUAUUUGUGGUGAAAAUCCAAUGUGCACACGUGUCGUGCAACACAGAAUGUUUGGCUUCAGGACAGGUCUGCGCAUGCGCGUGACAUCACUUCCGCUGACAUCACUUCCAGGUAUGAAAAAAAUCCAGUCAGGGCAUCGCUUAUCCCCCUAGAAACGAGCUUUAAAUGGUGACAGCCUGAAAUUGACUCUGUUUCUAUAUUCCAUUUUACAUUGCUUUGUAAUUCAUUUCUUUUUAUCCCUGACUUGCUUUUGUUGUGCAGUUAUUUGUUAACAUUUCAGGGGGGUACACCCCUAUCUUCGUCAGAAACGGAGGACGGUUGUUACCCCCUGAAAUGUUGCCACCUUGGUGACUCAAUAAAUGGCGUAAACUCCCCAACUGCUUAUUAUUGUGUGUGUGGCUCCGUCACUGCACCUCGAGGGUUAAAGCAGCUGGAGGGAGCCCAGUGGCCAUUUCCUGCUCUAGAAGGCUGGACUGAGUCAUUGACUUGCUCAGAGGGGAGGGGCCAUAAGAGACAGCUGUAGGGACAAUGAUUGGGUUCCUGCACAGAGGGGCGGGGCAAGGUGAUUAGGGACUGAGGGAAAAUGUCCUGAUGGCUUUAUAUGUACAAGAUCUGCUGUCUCCUGUCUUAGCCUGAGCUGAGAAGCAGGAGCAGCGUCACUUCCAGGUCAGUCCCUCCCACAAGGAGCCAAUGGGAAUGUGGGAGGAAGCGAGUGACACAGGGAUGAAGGGGAAGAAGAAG